GGGGGCGACAUGGUUUCGACGGGGGACGCGAAGUAGUCUGGAGCAUGCCGAGGGCGUCAUCUUCCUCGUUAAUCCGAUGGCAAAAAACUAGACGCGAACGACGACGUCUACGCUCUGGCCGCUUAAGGCCUAGCCCCGAACCCACUUGUGCCUGUGCUCGUGGAUGUAGGGUCACUAUCACAGGAUCGCCCGUGCCGGCGCCUUUCGGUUGCGGGUCAAAUCCAAGAGGCUGGUCCGGCGGUGCGCCUCGCACGUUGUGUUGCCGCCGGACGAGAUCAAACAGCGUGACAAGCAUGUAGCGCCGGGCGCGGAGCGCCUUCGGACGCGGGUUCAAUUCCCGCCGCCUCCACCA
rnacentral:tmRNA from 1 species